AAAUGCUCGUAUGAAAGUAUAAACUUUAAUAAAGACGCCUUUACGUUAUUAUUCUGCCGUCAACUUGUGAUGUUUGAAUGCCACCAAAGUUUGAGAGUAUCCUUCCUUGCGAUAACCACGCCAAACAAUUCCGAGAAACCAGUAGAAAACGAACUUUUUCUCCAAAACGGUGUGGUUGCGCUGCUAUUCGCACACAAAACAGACGAUACCGAAGCUUCAGCCCAAAGUUCACCUCUCCGAAUUAACCAAAUAUAACUUAUCCGUACCGCGCGAUUCUGGCGGUGGAAAUGUUGGCGGGGGCGUUUCCGACACCUUCAACCGUUUCCAUGAACGGCAAAUUCAAGCGAAUCUUAGCGGUCUGGGAAAGAAAAUGAGGAGCUUUCGAAACUGCUGCAUCAUUGGCAUGCAAAGUAUCAAAAACUGAAUAAAAAGUAAAUGUUUGCCUGUGGCCAUGAA